UACGUAGGGGGCAAGCGUUGUCCGGAUUUAUUGGGCGUAAAGAGCGUGUAGGCGGUUUGGUAGGUCCGCUGUGAAAACUCGAGGCUCAACCUCGAGACGCCGGUGGAAACCAUCAGGCUAGAGUCCGGAAGAGGAGAGUGGAAUUCCUGGUGUAGCGGUGAAAUGCGCAGAUAUCAGGAGGAACACCGGUGGCGAAGGCGGGUCUCUGGGCCGAUACUGACGCUGGAGGAGCGAAAGCGUGGGGAGCAAACAGG
rnacentral:rRNA from 1 species